rnacentral:lncRNA from 1 species
CGAAACUAUGAACUCUCAAUAUAGAUAUAUAUGCAAAUAUAAGUACUAGAGCUCAACAAAAGAUUUAGCAAUGUAAAGAGUUGUAUUUCAGAAAGCUUGGUGUGUUCUCCUUGUUGUUAAAAACGAAAUCACACUCAAGUAUAUAUACAUCACACUAACGGUCACAAUUCAACAAAUUUCCCAACGAUCUUGGUAACAACCUCACGUUUAAAUUUAAUUUGAAUAAUGA